AACGAACGCUGGCGGCAGGCUUAACACAUGCAAGUCGAACGCACCUUUCGGGGUGAGUGGCAGACGGGUGAGUAACGCGUGGGAAUCUACCCUUCUCUACGGGAUAGCUCCGGGAAACUGGUAUUAAUACCGUAUACGUCCUGCGGGCGAAAGAUUUAUCGGGGAAGGAUGAGCCCGCGUUGGAUUAGCUAGUUGGUGGGGUAAAGGCCUACCAAGGCGACGAUCCAUAGCUGGUCUAAGAGGAUGAUCAGCCACAUUGGGACUGAGACACGGCCCAAACUCCUACGGGAGGCAGCAGUGGGGAAUAUUGGACAAUGGGCGCAAGCCUGAUCCAGCCAUGCCGCGUGAGUGAUGAAGGCCAUAGGGUUGUAAAGCUCUUUCAGUGGGGACGAUAAUGACGGUACCCACAGAAGAAGCCCCGGCUAACUUCGUG
rnacentral:rRNA from 1 species